AGCCAGGUCCUACACAACGUUUUCUCCUGAACCCCGCCAGGACCGGAAGGUAGCAACGGUAUGGAUGUGAAACGUGUGUGUGGGGGUGCCUGGCUAUC
rnacentral:SRP_RNA from 2 species